GUACACUCCUGCGGGAGGCAGCAGUGGGGAAUAUUGGACAAUGGGCGCAAGCCUGAUCCAGCCAUGCCGCGUGAGUGAUGAAGGCCCUAGGGUUGUAAAGCUCUUUCACCGGUGAAGAUAAUGACGGUAACCGGAGAAGAAGCCCCGACUAACUUCGUGCCAGCAGCCGCGGUAAUACGAAGGGGGCUAGCGUUGUUCGGAUUUACUGGGCGUAAAGCGCACGUAGGCGGACUAUUAAGUCAGGGGUGAAAUCCCGGGGCUCAACCCCGGAACUGCCUUUGAUACUGGUAGUCUUGAGUUCGAGAGAGGUGAGUGGAAUUCCGAGUGUAGAGGUGAAAUUCGUAGAUAUUCGGAGGAACACCAGUGGCGAAGGCGGCUCACUGGCUCGAUACUGACGCUGAGGUGCGAAAGCGUGGGGAGCAAACAGGAUUAGAUACCCCGGUAGUCCCAUGAU
rnacentral:rRNA from 1 species